AUGAACGCUGGCGGCGUGCCUCAUCCAUGCAAGUCGAGCGAACAGACGAGGAGCUUGCUCCUCUGACGUUAGCGGCGGACGGGUGAGUAACACGUGGAUAACCUACCUAUAAGACUGGGAUAACUUCGGGAAACCGGAGCUAAUACCGGAUAAUAUAUUGAACCGCAUGGUUCGAUAGUGAAAGACGGUUUUGCUGUCACUUAUAGAUGGAUCCGCGCCGCAUUAGCUAGUUGGUAAGGUAACGGCUUACCAAGGCGACGAUGCGUAGCCGACCUGAGAGGGUGAUCGGCCACACUGGAACUGAGACACGGUCCAGACUCCUACGGGAGGCAGCAGUAGGGAAUCUUCCGCAAUGGGCGAAAGCCUGACGGAGCAACGCCGCGUGAGUGAUGAAGGUCUUCGGAUCGUAAAACUCUGUUAUUAGGGAAGAACAAAUGUGUAAGUAACUAUGCACGUCUUGACGGUACCUAAUCAGAAAGCCACGGCUAACUACGUG
rnacentral:rRNA from 1 species